rnacentral:rRNA from 1 species
CUACGGGGGGCUGCAGUGGGGAAUAUUGCACAAUGGGGGGAACCCUGAUGCAGCAACGCCGCGUGGAGGAUGACGCAUUUCGGUGUGUAAACUCCUUUUAUAUGUCAAGAAAAUGACGGUAGCAUAUGAAUAAGCACCGGCUAACUCCGUGCCAGCAGCCGCGGUAAUACGGAGGGUGCAAGCGUUACUCGGAAUCACUGGGCGUAAAGGACGCGUAGGCGGGUUGGAAAGUCAGGUGUGAAAUCCUACAGCUUAACUGUAGAACUGCACUUGAAACUUCUAAUCUAGAGUAUGGGAGGGGGAGAUGGAAUUAGUGGUGUAGGGGUAACAUCCGUAGAUAUCACUAGGAAUACCUAAAGCGAAGGCGAUCUCCUGGAACAUUACUGACGCUAAGGCGUGAAAGCGGGGGGAGCAAACAGGAUUAGAUACCCUUGUAGUC